UACGGAGGGGGCUAGCGUUGUUCGGAAUUACUGGGCGUAAAGCGCACGUAGGCGGCUUUGUAAGUUAGAGGUGAAAGCCCGGGGCUCAACUCCGGAAUUGCCUUUAAGACUGCAUCGCUAGAAUUGUGGAGAGGUAAGUGGAAUUCCGAGUGUAGAGGUGAAAUUCGUAGAUAUUCGGAAGAACACCAGUGGCGAAGGCGACUUACUGGACACAUAUUGACGCUGAGGUGCGAAAGCGUGGGUAGCAAACAGG
rnacentral:rRNA from 1 species